UACGUAGGGGGCAAGCGUUGUCCGGAUUUAUUGGGCGUAAAGAGCGUGUAGGCGCCUGAAAGGUCAGCUGUGAAAACUCGAGGCUCAACCUCGAGACGUCGGUUGAAACCAUCUGGCUAGAGUCCGGAAGAGGAGUGUGGAAUUCCCGGUGUAGCGGUGAAAUGCGCAGAUAUCAGGAAGAACACCCGUGGCUAAGGCGGCUCUCUAGUACGGUACUGACGCUGAGACGCGAAAGCGUGGGGAGCGAACAGG
rnacentral:rRNA from 1 species